rnacentral:rRNA from 1 species
ACGAACGCUGGCGGCAUGCCUAACACAUGCCAGUCGAACGAGACCUUCGGGUCUAGUGGCGCACGGGUGCGUAACGCGUGGGAAUCUACCCUCAGGUUCGGAAUAACUCAGAGAAAUUUGAGCUAAUAUCGGAUGAUGACGUAAGUCCAAAGAUUUAUCGCCUGAGGAUGAGCCCGCGUAGGAUUAGGUAGUUGGUGAGGUAAAGGCUCACCAAGCCGACGAUCCUUAGCUGGUCUGAGAGGAUGAUCAGCCACACUGGGACUGAGACACGGCCCAGACUCCUACGGGAAGCAGCAGUGGGGAAUAUUGGACAAUGGGCGAAAGCCUGAUCCAGCAAUGCCGCGUGAGUGAUGAAGGCCUUAGGGUUGUAAAGCUCUUUUACCCGGGAUGAUAAUGACAGUACCGGGAGAAUAAGCUCCGGCUAACUCCGUG